ensembl:lncRNA
CCAACUCUCCUGGCCAGGAGGCUCCAGGUCCAUGCACAUCACCCAGCAAUACACGCAACAAACCACGUCUUGUGACCUGCUGUCACUUCCAAAAACACACACCCAGACAGGUAGGAAAGAUGCUCUGUUCUGAGUGACCGCUUUGCCUGACCCGACUUGAAAUAUUUACUGUUACAUUGCUUUUACUUCUAAUUUGAACAUAUAUUCCCCAUCGGGUUUUCUAAAUUAAAAUUCAAGCAAAUAAAACCCAUAGUAUUUCUUAAUAAAGAGUGAGAAAAGCAUCCUGGGUCAUUCCAAUGACACUGAAAGGGGAUUUACAUAAAACACAACUUUUACUUUCCAAAGGAGAAAAAAGCAGUAAUUCCCCUGGAAGUCUCACUUAGGUUUUCUUACUAGUGGGACAGUGGCAAACAUUAAAUGUUCUGCCCUUCGGGGCUUUUAAUUAAAAGCUUUAUUAAGAUAAUUUUCUUAAUUAUCCCAGCCCUAUGAGAGCCCUUGCAGCUGCCAGCAGACAAUGCAGCCCCACCUGACCACUCAGUCCUGCUCGGCACAAUAAGCAGAAAUAUGACAAUAUCCUCCACAUUAACAACCUUUCAGAAUCUCAAGGGAGAGAGACAGACUCUUUAGCGGGGUCUGUGUGACAGGACAAGGGGAAGUGGUUUUAAACUAUGAGAGGGCAGAUUUAUAUGGGAUAUAAGGAAGAAGUUUUUUAAGGAAGAAAAGUAGGAAGAGCAUAAUGUAUUUGUGCUGGACGAGUGUCCAUACAGCAUCUUUACAUCAUGCAAGGGGACCAAUUCCUCCAUGCAAUGCAGCACUGCUCCAUCCAUGCACCAUCUGCAGGGAUUGCUCCUGGCCCCACAGAUACCAGCAACAUCCAGAGCACCAAACGAGCACAGAAACCAAAUCAUUCAGUGCCAUUUCACACCGCUCUCACUAAAUCCUUUCUGCAAAGCGUGAGCUGCCUGUAGCUGUCUCCUCCUGCUCUUCAGGCACCAAGGGCUGUCACCAACUUUGUCCUUGGAACAUUUGCUCAGCUCACAGGCUGGCAGUUGUUUGCCUACAGAUCUGAUAGCAAACAACAUUUUUUUCCCCCGAAGUUUUCAGUCCCAGGUUUGUGCAUUCUGUUCCCCUUCAUUCUGUUUUCUCUCCCUCUUUGUAGCCUCCUCCUUCCUCCUUUCCUCCUGUGCUGUUCACAGCACAUCUCCCAUUCUCUUUCCUUCAGCAAGAUUCCUUCCUUCUCCUCCUCCUUGCUUUGUUUCUAAAACACACAGCUCUCUCUGCCUCCUCCCCCUGGUAUCAGUUUUGGCAGAUGUCUGUUUGGAGCUCUCUUGGCCGCCUCCUGCCAUCAAUUCUAAACUUCUGUCAGCAAUAAAACACUCAAAUCUAAAAUUAAACGUUUGCUUUGGACAGAAAACAUUUUUCAUCACGUUUUUUUCUUUUUUCCUGCUCGCCUUCGUUCUCAGGACAGCACGAAUUCUCAUAUUCAGAACUGCUGAAGUUGGCCACAGAGCUGUACCAAAGCAAUGCCACACCCUAAAUGCAGACCAGCCCAAGCAAUACAGUACCAGCUUUAGCCUCAAGAGCUGAGUAUCAGGGGUGAGUAGAGCCCCAGCGAGGCAUUCUGGCUUUGUUUCAGAAAGAGCUAUUGCAAUACAAUGCACUUUUCCUUCCCCCGUGUGUUCACAGGGCUAUGGGUUUUCCCCAUACAGCAGGGCUGCUCCCCUGCUCUUUCCCCUCCAACUGAACGUAACACAUCAUUACACUCUCCUCCAGUAGUAAACACUGUGCUCUUGCCCCUCCUUACUCUCUCACAUGGACGCUCAGCUCAAGGUUUUAUGGCUUAAUGUGCCCUUCAGUGUACAGUCAUGUGGUCAGGUCCAACUGUUCUGGUGAUGUAAUGCAAUAUGGCAAACAUUUAUGUGUUACUGUAAGUUUCAGAAAGAACUUUUGUGUUCUCCUGAGUGUCCCGUGGGAGAGGAUUUAAGUUUCCAACAGUUUGCAGAAAGCAGUAGAGCUGAAAGAGGCAAAGCAACUACAGCACAAGAAGGACUUCCCAAGAUGCUAUAUACUUUUUAUUUUAACUUGAAGCUCUCUCCUGGAAGAGCAGUGGACUUUGCAUGAAAGAACUGCAGUACUGCUGUAAGUACCAGCUUCACUGGUUGAUCUGCUGAAUGCCACUCAACAAACCGUUGCAACACAUUAAAAACAAGAGAAAAAUCAGAGAAAGGGGCAAAACAGCUAUUGCAAGAGCUGGUCUGCAAGCUCAGUGUGUCCCCCCCCAGCUCCAGCAAGCAAUGGGGAUACUCCUACAGAAUCCCUCUUACGAAACUCUUUUGCAAUUAACCACAGGAGAACACAGCUGAGCAUUUCUACUAUUUGUGGCACACUGGGUCCUGAAGGAAGUGGGACACGGCGCCUGGGAGCGAUGCCAGCCAGGCGAGCUCACGGGAUAGAAAACAUGGGAAAAUCCUCACAGCAGAGCACAUCGCUGCCAGAAGUCUGCCUGCGAGGUGUCAUCUGCCAACUUACUGUGGGUGCACUCGAUCCCCUCAUCCAGGUCAUCAAUAAAGAUAUCAAACAGGACAG